UCCAGCUUAUCGCUGGCGGUCUCCUGAGAGUUCCGCCCUUUCGGGCAUGGCAACACAGGACAAGGGUUGCGCUCGUUGCGGGACUUAACCCAACAUCUCACGACACGAGCUGACGACAGCCAUGCAGCACCUCGACUCCACUCCCUUGCGGGAUAGCAAUGUUUCCACUGCCGUUGAGAAGCCGUUCGAGCCCAGGUAAGGUUCUUCGCGUUGCGUCGAAUUGAACCACAUGCUCCACCGCUUGUGCGGGCCCCCGUCAAUUCCUUUGAGUUUCAGCCUUGCGGCCGUACUCCCCAGGCGGGGUACUUACUGCGUUAGCGACGGCACCGAGGGGGUCGCUCCCCCCGACGCCUAGUACCCAUCGUUUACAGCGUGGACUAC
rnacentral:misc_RNA from 1 species